ACUACGGGUGGCUGCAGUGAGGAAUAUUGGUCAAUGGGCGGGCGCCUGAACCAGCCAAGUCGCGUGAGGGAAGAAGGUACUGAGUAUUGUAAACGUCUUUUGCCAGGGGACAAAGGCGGCCACGGGUGGCCGUAAGAGGGUACCUGGAGAAAAAGCAUCGGCUAACUCCGUGCCAGCAGCGGCGGUAAUACGGAGGAUGCGAGCGUUAUCCGGAGUGAUUGGGGUUAAAGGUGGCGAAGGUGGCGUGUCAAGUCAGCGGUACACUGUCGGGGCUCAAACCCGGCCGGCCGUUGAAACUGGCGUGAUCGAGUUGGAGAGAAGUAUGCGGAAUUCGUGGUGUAGCGGUGAAAUGCAUAGAUAUCACGAAGAACCCCGAUUGCGAAGGCAGCAUACCGGCUCCACACUGACGCUGAGGCACGAAAGCGUGGGUAUCGAACAGGAUUAGAUACCCGGGUAGUC
rnacentral:rRNA from 1 species